rnacentral:lncRNA from 1 species
CAGGAAAUUCUAGUAGUUCACUAAUAAUUCUGUCUUUAUUCCCAGGUAGAAGGUAAACAGAGUUGGUCUGUUUAUAUGAAACCAUAUUUUAAGCCUCUCAAGAAAUCCCCAAUCACAGAUUCUUCUGAUUAACAGAGAUAAUGCUUAUUAUAUUAAGCACCAUGUUACUCUGGAAUGAAGAAACAAAGAGUACAAAACUGCCACUCUGCAUGUACAUCAAUUUUUCCAGCGACCUAAGAGAAGAGAUCACAGUGUUUACAGCCAGAGGAUUCAGCCCUGGGUAUCUCUGCACAAGCUCAGAGGAUUCCACAUACACAGUCCUUCUCCUCCAUACCAUGUCCACCCAGGUUGGGUCCACAGUGGAAACUGCAUCUUCCAGACAACCAUUGUGAAGUGCUUCUUAUUGAAAAGGAGAGGAAAAGAACCUUUCUUG